ACAUACGACUACAGGGUGUGGAAAACAAGGCUCCCCGUCUGCUCAGCCGUACUUAAGCCACACGCUGGAGGGUCAGUAGUUAGGUAAAUGACUACUAGUGAAUUUCUUCUAUUAUAUACU
rnacentral:rRNA from 1 species